rnacentral:rRNA from 1 species
UACAGAGGUCCCAAGCGUUGUUCGGAUUCAUUGGGCGUAAAGGGUGCGUAGGCGGCGCGGUAAGUCGGGUGUGAAAUCUCGGGGCUUAACUCCGAAACUGCAUUCGAUACUGCCGUGCUUGAGGACUGGAGAGGAGACUGGAAUUUACGGUGUAGCGGUGAAAUGCGUAGAUAUCAAGUGGAACACCAGUGGCGAAGGCGAGUCCCUGGACAACUCCUGACACUGAGGCACGAAAGCUAGGGGAGCAAACAGG